AUUACACGAACAUACGGCUCACCUGGCGGUGAGUGAUCAUCGUCGCUUGUGGAAAUCAAUAACGCCCAGACAAGCCGCUGCCUACUGCUCAGGACUUCACAAUUUGUUUGGACGUUUCUAUUAUAUUAAACAGUUAUUACAAUCCACGGGAAACUUAUGAAGUCAGACAGUUCAUAGGUUGGGUUACUUAACAUACAAUUUAUAAAAUAAAGCCACUAAUUAAAUUAGACCCAGCAAAAGUUUCAGAUUCAAAGCCUGAUCAUCGUCCACAUAUCAGCUUGUCAAACGAAAAAAUUAGCAAAAUUUAUAAACUUUCAACAAAUUUACUCUAUCAUUGUAUUACCAAUUAGAAUACGUUCAUGGCAGUAGUUUCAUAAAACUAUAAUUAAUUCUGUCGUCUAUGUUCCACUUUGUUUACCAAACGAAUAAACGAGAGAUGUUGUCCCAGCAUCGCAACUAGGUUACACCGUGGAUGCUUCCAACGCUCGCUUCGAGCGCGUGCUGAGCGUCAUCAUCCGGAUGAGCUGAUGAAUCUGAUGUGACUCCCUUCCACAGACUCUCCACAGGUACUUCCCGAAGCAGCCAUGCUCCGAAAGGACCUGGGUGAGACUGAAGGAGAGCACGCCGCACAUAUUGGCACAAGGGCAUCGAGCGUGCGCCAGCGGAUCGCCGAAGUUCAGCCGAACCCCUUCAGCAACGCUCCAUUCACUUGGCGUACGCCAGACGACGUGCAGCACGCCUCCACCGACCGGCAGUCGACGGGCUAGGUGUAUGUUCCCAGCUUGAGGACUGUGUAUAUUGCAAUCUUACGAAAAACCAUUUAUGAAUGCCUUUGCCAGGCUUUGAAGUUUGAAAAUCGAAGCAAUCAAGACCAUGCAUUAUGAGGCAUUGAGCAUUAAGCUCUGUACAUUAAAAAAGAAGAACCAAUAUUAAAACUCCAGUGGUUUUUUACAAAUUAACAUUUUUCAUUUAUUUAAUGUAGAAUAUGAAAUAUUUUAAAAUAAAAAUAUGUAACAAAAACAAUAUAUAAAGUUAAUGUAACAAUGUACAUCCACAAA